UACGUAGGGUGCAAGCGUUAUCCGGAAUUAUUGGGCGUAAAGAGCUCGUAGGCGGUUUGUCGCGUCUGCUGUGAAAACUGGAGGCUCAACCUCCAGCCUGCAGUGGGUACGGGCAGACUAGAGUGCGGUAGGGGAGAUUGGAAUUCCUGGUGUAGCGGUGGAAUGCGAGAUAUCAGGAGGAACACCGAUGGCGAAGGCAGAUCUCUGGGCCGUAACUGACGCUGGGGAGCGAAAGCAUGGGGAGCGAACAGG
rnacentral:rRNA from 1 species